rnacentral:misc_RNA from 1 species
UCCUGGUUAACCCAGGCAGUCUCAUUAGAGUUCCCAUCUUAAUGUUGGCAACUAAUGAUAAGGGUUGCGCUCGUUGCGGGACUUAACCCAACACCUCACGGCACGAGCUGACGACAGCCAUGCAGCACCUGUGCACAGGCCCCGAAGGGCUUACUCAUUUCUGAAUAAUUCCUGUGCAUGUCAAGCCUGGGUAAGGUUCUUCGCGUUGCAUCGAAUUAAACCACAUGCUCCACUGCUUGUGCGGGUCCCCGUCAAUUCUUUUGAGUUUCAGCCUUGCGACUGUACUCCUCAGGCGGUAUACUUAUCGCGUUAGCUUCGGCACAACUAGGGUUGAGUCCAGUUACACCAAGUAUACAUCGUUUACGGCAAGGACUAC